GCAGGUGCUAUGCUCGGCUACCUCCUAGGGCAACAAACUGUCGCAAGAAGAAGUGUGGACACAGCACUCAGCUGAGGCAAAAGAAGAUCUGGAGGCCUUACGACUAAAGCGCCAGGAGCCAGUGAAUCAGUUAAUUUCUCAGUGCUUAUGUAGUUAUAUGCCAAUUCAGAGUUGGAGGUUUAAAUUAUCUCCUUGUAAACGUUAGUCCUUGUUGAUGUUGAACCUUAAUUAUUUUGUCCCCCAUAAAUCAGGUUACGAUCAUAUCUUGA